rnacentral:rRNA from 1 species
GAUGAACGCUGGCGGCGUGCCUAAUACAUGCAAGUCGAACGCAGUGGGGACGGGUGAGUAACACGUGGGUAACCUCCCAUCAGAGGGGAUAACCCUUGGAAACAGGUGCUAAACUGAUACUGAUGGAUGUACCCGCGGUGCAUUAGCUAGUUGGUGAGGUACCGGCUCACCAAGGCCACGAUGCAUAGCUGACCUGAGAGGGUGAUCGGCCACACUGGGACUGAGACACGGCCCAGACUCCUACGGGAGGCAGCAGUGGGGAAUCUUCGGCAAUGGACGAAAGUCUGACCGAGCAACGCCGCGUGAGUGAAGAAGGUUUUCGGAUCGUAAAGCUCUGUUGUUAGGGAGGCGGUAUCUAACCAAAAAGCCACGGCUAACUACGUGCCAGCAGCCGCGGUAAUAC